CAGCUCCAGAGCAGCAGCAAAGGGAAGCAGCGUCCUCGCCAAUACCUGGGCUGUCCUUCAAGGCUCAGUGCAAGGAAAAACACCUGGGUUGGACAUCAGAUAAGGAAAUUGAGACUCAAAGAGGACCCCCAUGGAGGAAGUAAUGAAGCUUGAAUUUGGACCCAAGAUCAUGUCCCUUUCACUUCCUCAGCCUGCCCAGGAAGUUUAUAGCAUGCUCAUGCCACUAACCCUGGAGCUGGAUACAUGCUCAAUUGGCUUGAAGACCUUGGGUAGUGCUGACUUCCAGACCACUGAGGUCACCUGCAUAAGCAAGCCUGGCAACAAAUAAUCAUUUUCCAGGAAAUGACCAGAAACUCAGCCUGCUUUUUGUCAUUUCACCAGCCCCAUCAUCUUUCCUUUAUUCUAGAGCUCCUGGCACACUUACAUGAAUCUCUUGAAAGAAGAGAAAUGAGAGCAUUCAUUCCAUACGAAUACAAUUGUGCCCUAUGGAAAGGCUUUUUGCUGGCAGACGUAAUAGAUGGACCAUUUCCCAACUUCUUUUUCUUUGCCAACUUCCAGCCAAAGGUGUCCAUAUGACACAGCUCUGGAAAGGAUAAUUGGAAGUCUGCUGAGAAAGCUUUUGAUUUUCUGGCAGAGACAUUUUUGCUUCCCCUUGCCACUUCCUGCUGGAUUACAGAUGUGAUGGAAAGAGCUGCAGCAGCCAUAAUACAACCAUAAAGGAGAGGAGAAGAGAAUUACAAAGGCAUCAACCCACAUUGAAUUGAACUGCUAAGUUAACACUAGCAGUUACUUGCCUCCAGAUAUCUUUGUGUGUGAGAACAUUAAAUCUGUAUGUGUGUA
rnacentral:lncRNA from 1 species